rnacentral:rRNA from 1 species
AUUGAACGCUAGCGGGAUGCCUUACACAUGCAAGUCGAACGGAGCGGAGAACGGGUGGGUAAUGUAUCGGAACGUGCCCAGUAGCUGGGGAUAACUAAGCGAUAGCGUAGCUAAUACCGCAUACUAUUCGACCGGUCGAUCUCGGAUGAGCUAGCUGGUAGGGUAACGGCUCACCCAGGCGACGAUCCGUAGCUGGUUUGAGAGGACGACCAGCCACACUGGGACUGAGACACGGCCCAGACUCCUACGGGAGGCAGCAGUGGGGAAUUUUGGACAAUGGGGGAAACCCUGAUGCAGCCAUCCCGCGUGUGCGAUGAAGGCCUUCGGGUUGUAAAGCACUUUUAGCAGGAAAGCGGUACCUGCAGAAUAAGCACCGGCUAACUACGUGCCAGCAGCCGCGGUAAUAC